GCUUAUAAUAGAAGAGCUGAGGCUCUUUCUUUUCUUCCUAAAUAGGAAUAAGUCUCAAAUACAGAAGAAAAAUCUAUAUCAUUAAGCUUUGGCUCCAUCUAAUCCUCAUCAACAUGAAACUGAAUAUGUUAAACAAUCAGAUGACACUUGUAGGCAUCAUAUUCCAUAGGACUGACAGAUGCAUUAGUUACGAGAUAGGCUUACAAGCCCACAAUUUCAAUUCAAUUCACCUUCUUGAUGAGCUCAUCCAAUGAGAUUGGGCUUGGCACAUUUGUGUGUCAAAAUCAGCUGAUUUGAGCUUUUGGCCGAGUCACUCACAAAAUAGUAAACGGACAGGUCAACUCAUUCACAACCUUAGGUUUAAUUUCUAUUUGUACUUACAG
rnacentral:misc_RNA from 1 species